GCGCCCGUAGCUCAGUUGGAUAGAGUAUUGCCCUCCGAAGGCAAAGGUCGUACGUUCGAAUCGUAUCGGGCGCG
rnacentral:tRNA from 1 species